UAUCUUAUGCGUCCUAUCUUCC
rnacentral:siRNA from 1 species